AUGGACGGCGAGCCUCUGUGGCACAGGAGCUUCCCCGGCAACGUCAGGCAAGAGCUCAUUCACAGCCUCGGCAGCUCCACCAAGGAAGCCUCGCCGCAGUCCGACCUGUGGACCGGAGGCCUCGUCUGCGCCUUCGAGUUCGUCCGCGGCCACGGCUUCGCUAGCCCGCCCAAUCUCUCACGGAACAACUCCUCGCAAUACUCCAAAGACCAUUCAGCAGCCAUGGAUCCCACGAAGCUACCCAUCACAAGGUUGGGAGACGUUUCAUCUCAAGGUUCGGAGGACAGCGAGGAGCCGAAGCCGGCGUGCAAGCACGGGAAGGCGUCGCCGGAGAGCUACUGGGUGCCCAUCGGGUGGAGGAGGAUAGCGGAGCUGGCGGAAAUGGUGGAGGAGGACGCGGCGUGGGACGGGCAGGGGAUGGGCGGCCUCAUGGACGACGGCGACCAGUGCUGCGACAUCACCGUGGCCGAUGUCGCCGCGCCGUACUGGCAGAGGCCGGCGGGGCCGACCUGGUGGUGCCACGUGACGGCGGGACACCCGGCGGUGGAUGCCUGGCUUGCCGGCGCGCGAUGGCUCCACCCGGCGAUCCGCGUGGCGCUCAGGGACGAGAGCAUGCUCAUCAGUGAGAAGAUGAAGCAUCUACUGUAUGAGGUCCCGGUUAGAGUUGCAGGUGGCUUGCUAUUCGAGCUAUUGGGCCAGUCCGUGGGCGAUCCGGCCGGCGACGAGGAUGACAUUCCUAUUGUGCUCCGUGCAUGGCAAGCUCAAAAUUUUCUUAUAACAGCGCUUCAUGUGAAAGGUUCUGCGACCAACAUUAACGUCAUAGCAGUUACAGAGGUUCAGGAGCUUCUUUCUGCAUGUGGAAGCACAGCUCCUAAAAGUAUCCAUGAAGUUGUAGCGCAUUUGGCUUCCCGCCUUGCUCGAUGGGACGAUAGAUUGUGGCGUAAAUACGUGUUUGGUGCAGCCGAUGAAAUUGAACUUAAAUUUGUAAACAGGAGGAAUCAGGAAGACCUAAACCUGCUGUGCAUAAUAUUUAACCAAGACAUUAGAAGGUUAGCCACCCAGGUUAUCAGGGUGAAAUGGUCACUGCAUGCUAGAGAGGAGAUAAUAUUUGAGCUGCUCCAGUAUCUGAGGGGAACCGCCACCAGGUUCUUGCUUGAAGGUAUCAGGAAAGACACAAGGCAAAUGAUAGAAGAGCAAGAGGCUGUCCGCGGCCGGUUGUUCACCAUCCAGGAUGUGAUGCAGAGCACUGUGCGUGCCUGGUUGCAGGAUAAGAGCCUUCGCAUCACGCAUAACCUAACCAUUUUUGGUGGGUGUGGCCUCAUUCUGUCAAUCAUCACCGGAUUGUUUGGGAUCAACGUGGACGGCAUCCCAGGAGCUAAAAACACUCCAUAUGCUUUUGCGUUGUUCUCCGGGCUUCUGUUCCUGGUUGGGUUCAUGCUGAUCAUUGUGGGAAUCGUCUAUUUCGGACUGCAGAAACCGGUCAGUGAUGAGCAGGUCCAAGUGAGAAAGUUGGAGCUCCAGCAGCUAGUCUCCAUGUUCCAGCACGAGGCCGAGACACACGCCAAAGUGAGAGAAGGAGUCCUGAGGAGCGACUUGCCUCCUAGAGCAGCUGAUCUCAUCUAUGAUAAUGGUGAUGCGUGUCUCCUUAUAUCCCCAGGCCCAGCAUCUAAAAUUGCAACGUUACUAAUAUAUUUUUUGUUAUCCAUGCAUAUGCAUCCAUCAGUGCGUAAGCUUGGAAGGUAUUUCUCGUUCGAAGCAAAGUGUGAGCCAGCGCUUCAAGGUUAUCACUUGGUUUCGCUUUGCACCCUGUAG
rnacentral:rRNA from 1 species